AAGAGAGUCAAAGAGUGCUUGA
rnacentral:snRNA from 1 species